GAUUACAGGCGUGAGCUACCGCGCCUGGCCUAGAAUAGUAUUUUAAAUAGGGUGGUUGGAAAUGGCCUCUCUAAAACUGAACAGAGACUUGAAUAUGCUUAAAGGAGAAGCCAGAAAGUUUUGAGGUGAAAGAGUAUUCUGAUCAGACAGAAAAGCAAGUAAGGGCUCUGAGGCAGAAGCUUCAGUAGUAGACAGAACAAUGAUUCAUAAAAGAUGUCCACAUCCAGUACCCAAGACCUAUGAACAUGUUAUAUUACACAGCAAGGGGGACUGGGAUUGCAGAUGCAAUUAAGGUCACUAAUCAGCUAACAAGAAAGAGAGGUCAUUGUGAAUCAUCCAGGGGUAACCAACACAAUUACAAGGAACCUGAAAGGCAGGAGAGAGAGGCAUAAGAAGAGUGGCAGAGUGAGCAUGACUAUGGAAGAAGGGUCAGAAAUGCAAAGUAGCUGCCUUUGAAGAUGGAGGAAGGGAAACAAGAGCCAAGGAAUGCCUAGAGACUGGUAAACCAAAAUAAAGGCUUCUCCUCAAGAGCAUCCAGAAAGAAACAAACACCUACAGACAGCUUGAUAAUUGUCCGGUGAGACGUGUCAGACUUCAGGCCUAAAGAACAGAAAGAUGAUAAAUUUUUGUUGUUUAGUCGACUAAAUGUGUGGUCAUUGGUUACUACAACAGGCAAUACAGUGUCCUUGGCAGGUCAGAGAAACGGUAGGGAGGACAACGUGGCUGGAAGGACAAGGCAAAAGGGAGAGGACAGGAGAUGUAGUCAGAGAGGUGGUGGGGGAUGAAAAGCAGAUCACAUGGUCUCUAAAAGGCACUUAAAACACUUGUAACUUAAGUAAACAUAAGAAGCCAGCCGGGCGCGGUGGCUCACCCAGCUCAUAGAUUUGCUAUUCAUUCUGUCUGUAUCCUGAUAAUGAUGGAUUUUCCUGAGCUCCACCAGAAGUGCAGUGAUGGAAAAGACCUCCUGUAGGUUUACUUUGUGCACUUACUGAGUCUCCUUGUAAGUAACCCUGUAGGACUCUAAAUGCAGCAUCCUGGGCUGCACGUAUAUAGGUUUCAGUGAAUCUUGCCAACUGCCCCAGUAACAUUUAACAAUUCAGUCCCAGUCUUGCCUGAUAAUUCCCAUUGUUCUCUCUCAUACUUGAACCCUGAAUGUUAUCAUUUUUCUUUAAUAUCUGCCACCAAACU
rnacentral:lncRNA from 10 species